UACAGAGGGGGCGAGCGUUGUUCGGAAUUACUGGGCGUAAAGAGCUCGUAGGCGGCUUGUUGCGUCAGCUGUGAAAACCCGCAGCUCAACUGUGGGCUUGCAGCUGAUACGGGCAGGCUUGAGUUCGGCAGGGGAGACUGGAAUUCCUGGUGUAGCGGUGAAAUGCGCAGAUAUCAGGAGGAACACCGGUGGCGAAGGCGGGUCUCUGGGCCGAAACUGACGCUGAGGAGCGAAAGCGUGGGGAGCGAACAGG
rnacentral:rRNA from 1 species